ACUGGACUAUGCCAGUAUAAAUAGAUUUUAGGCAUAGUGCGGCGGGAUUCGUCCCGCGUAAUA
rnacentral:ribozyme from 1 species